rnacentral:rRNA from 1 species
GACGAACGCUGGCGGCGUGCUUAACACAUGCAAGUCGAACGGAAAGUGCUCUUCGGAGUGACUCGAGUGGCGAACGGGUGAGUAACACGUGGGUGAUCUGCCCUGCACUUUGGGAUAAGCCUGGGAAACUGGGUCUAAUACCUCUCCGCAUGGCGGGGUGUGGAAAGUUUUUUCGGUCCAGGAUGCGCUCGCGGCCUAUCAGCUUGUUGGUGAGGUAAUGGCUCACCAAGGCUUUGACGGGUAGCCGGCCUGAGAGGGUGACCGGUCACACUGGGACUGAGACACGGCCCAGACUCCUACGGGAGGCAGCAGUGGGGAAUAUUGGACAAUGGGCGGAAGCCUGAUCCAGCAACGCCGCGUGAGGGAUGACGGCCUUCGGGUUGUAAACCUCUUUCAGUACCGACGAAGCGAAAGUGACGGUAGGUACAGAAGAAGGACCGGCCAACUACGUGCCAGCAGCCGCCGUAAAAC